CGCCGAGCCCCUCGCACAAACC
rnacentral:miRNA from 12 species